CUUGCGGAGGCGGGGUUUAGAGGUUUGCGAACCGCGAGCGAAGCGGAAGCACGCGGAUAAGGGGAGGGGUAGCGGCGGCCGCUAGCGGCCCUAGGAGGGGGCUCGAGCGCCUUAAACCGUACACUGUUCACCCUAACGCGCCCCCUUCCUCCGCGGGCGGCCGCUUGUCAGGACGGCCGCCUCUGCGGACGCCGCGGUCUCCCGGUGGCUAACUGUGGCUCUAAAGGAGUUGUGGGGGACUAAAAAGGCCGUAAAAAACUCCCGAGCCGCAGGAGGUCCUUAAGCCGAUAACGUCCAACGAUAGUGUUUUACCAGACGUACCGGCCUGUAAAAUUUUACCGAAGACACGAUUUCGAUUACUACCUUUUAGUACGGUGUGGACUACUCCACUAAUUACUCUUCUCACGAAGUGUAUAGGAUGUGUUCGUCGAAGAAUCGCGUGUACUUGGUUUAAACGAACUACUUCUACUAUACGUAUAUAAGCCUAGUUUUGGAUACCGACUAGGUAACCUGGACCAGGCGACACUAUGUACGGUCUUCGGACAAUUCCGGUCGGUAAUACGUGGAGUACGUCUCGCUACAUCGAGUCCCUUCCACUUGGGUUUGCUAAGUUACCCACAUCUUCUGCUACAAGUAGGAUACUUCGGAGGUUUCUUCCCGUCCUUUUAUUUCGACUGUUCGUUACCUUUAGUUUUCCAUGUAUAUUUUCACUUUAAUUUUAGAGUCGGGCUUUUAUUCUUGUAGCAGUUACUGAAACUCAACUGGUUACCCUUACUCUCGUUUGGAAAUUUAAGAUAACGACUAGUUUCCAAGUUUUGUAGACGGUGGUUACGAGGACUUUCAGCAAAAUCUCUACACGGUCGAGGAGAACGAUGUUUUUACAUAGUAAGUGCCCCUUUGAUGGUCGAAGCUAACCUCGAACGAGUCGAAAUGGCACUUAGUACGCGCCUCGUAAGUGUGUCGAUGCGUUCAUCAUGUUGAGGUUUGAGCAGUGUCUUAUUACCCAACCAUGGUACACUAUUAAGUUGUAAUGUACCAAGACUACUAAACCGUAAUGUACCAAGACUUAUAAGUCAUAAUGUACGACGAGCCUUCUCGUCGUAAGGGUUUUUUUUCGAAGAUCUAGUCGACGGACGUUCGUGUAGUCCCAACACGAGUCCUUAGAGAGGUGUUAAUAGUAGUUCGCCCGGUUCAGCAGACGUCCGUUGUUUUCGAGUCUCUCGUCUGUGAGGUCAUAGACCUCAAUCUUUACUUAACCCUUCUUCGUCCACGUUGUUUCACCGUCAAGGAAGAAGUUUUUGGUGUCCGUUUUUCUUCUGCGUCUUCGUUAGAUUGCGCGAUGGACGUUAGAUUCGGAGUCAUCUCAUCGGGUAACUAACCAACAAGUAACCAUAUCGGCGAAGUAACCACUUUCAUUAUCUCAUAGAGUAAAACAAGUAAAUUAUACUUUAAAUAAGAUCAGCCUUACUGAAGCCCUGGCCUGCUAGACUUAUGUUCCAGUAAAACCGAGUAACUGAGAACCAUCUUCGAUUGGUGUUGGGAAAGGCCGGGACCCAAUAUAGGUCAUCAUGUACAGUAUUGUUCUUUGACC
rnacentral:rRNA from 1 species